AGUGGCGGACGGGUGAGUAAUGCAUAGGAAUUUGCCUCAAAGUGGGGGAUAGCCCGGAGAAAUCCGGAUUAAUACCGCAUGUGCUCUACGGAGGAAAGCGGGCCUCUAUUUAUAAGCUCGCGCUUUGAGAUAAGCCUAUGUCGGAUUAGCUUGUUGGUAGGGUAACGGCCUACCAAGGCGACGAUCCGUAGCUGGUUUGAGAGGAUGAUCAGCCACACUGGGACUGAGACACGGCCCAGACUCCUACGGGAGGCAGCAGUGGGGAAUAUUGGACAAUGGGCGCAAGCCUGAUCCAGCAAUGCCGCGUGUGUGAAGAAGGCCUGCGGGUUGUAAAGCACUUUUAUCGGGAAAGAAAAGCCUGNGGUUAAUACCCUUCAGGCCUUGACGGUACCCGAAGAAUAAGCACCGGCUAACUCCGUGCCAGCAGCCGCGGUAAUACGGAGGGUGCAAGCGU
rnacentral:rRNA from 1 species